UACGUGUUCAACCCAAACCAUGUGAUUCGCCACGAAGAAAAUCGCCCUAGAGCCUAACCUGAGUUGCGAAGAAAAGCCGGUAGAAAUAUUAUAUCGAAAGGUGCAGCAGGUUCGGAACAAGUCGAUUACUACAAUGAAGGUUUUGUGGAAACACCAUGAAUAGGAAGAGGCAACAUGUGAGCUGAAAGAGGAAAUGAAAGAAAAAUAUCCAGAGCUUUUUGUCUAACUACUUUCUAAAUUUCGGGACGAAAUUUCUUUUAAGGGGGGUAGAAUGUAACAACCCGAACUUUCGUACCUUAUUUUUAUUAUUAGCCUAAAGAUAAAUAAUAAGUGAUCGUUGUAGUAUUUGAAAUCUGUCAUUCUCAUGUAUAAUAAUUGAUCUUGGAAUUAUAAAUAAUCAUUGCUUCGUUCUCGAACGAAUAUUUCAAGUAAAAGAAAAAAAAAUAAAAAAAUAACACCAAAUAAAAAUUUUAAUGUCCGAUAUAUCCAACAAAAGUCCAACAAAAUUUAAUUUAUACAUCGUAUGGAAGCGGGUACUUCAACACGAACGGCCACGAACAGGAACUGAGUAUACCUACACCAAUUAAAUGAAUAAGUGAACAAAUACUCUAAUAGUUAAAUUAAUAAGCAAAUAAAAAAAAAGAAGAAAAAAAGGGAGAGAAUGGUAUGAUAGAAUCAAGUAAUAUCAGCAUCAUUAAAUGUUGCAUUAAUUGAAUGGCCGAAGAAAUCAUAUCAAAUUAUAUCCUAAAAUCAUAUCCUAUCCUCUGACAGAGCAUAUCCUAAAAUCAUAUUGUAAAAUCAUAUCCUAUUCUGUAAUAUUUUGAAAGAUAGGUCUCCACUUGCAUCUUAUCAUUUGCAUAUUAUUCUUGCAAGAUACGCCACUUGCAUCUUUCAUGUAUAUGUACAUAUAUACAAAUCUUUUUGUCUCACCCACAUCACCAUCAAAUUCUAAGUUCUCAACACACCCCAACCCAACAUGAAUAGAGGAAGGAGAGUUGCAGAUAAUUGUAAGAUCAAGUCCUCAAUCCAACAACACUUUAUUCCACAUAAGAAGCGAUGGCGGAUCCGCGACGACGGCUGCGUUGGUGGAACCUCGGCGGCGGCGUGAGGCUGGACCGGGAGAGAGAGAGGGGGAGCGUGCAGACGGCGGACUUCCGGGAGGAGGGCGACAGCAGCAGCCUGACCCGGCGGGGACAGCAGCAGCUCCUCCGGCGUUCAACGGAGGCGGAUCCGCGGCUCCGGCAGAUCCGCGAGGCGGCGCCGGCAGAUCGGGGGAGAGAGAGAGAGAGAAGGCAGCGGCGUACGGUGAAGAGGGAGAGAAGAGAAAGAGAGAGAUGAGGAGGAGGAAGAGAACACCGUCGGAGACGAAAACGGAAGCGGAGGCGGUGCCGGUGGGGUGGCUGGUCGACGAAUAGAAGAGGGAGAUUUUUCCUAAUUUUUGUGCAAUUUGGGGAUUUGGCAGAGAGGGAGAAACCGACGGGUUUGGUGAUAAAGAGUAUAGGCUUUAUGCCUUCUUAAUUAAUUGGAAUUGGGCCAUUAAAAUAGUGAAUUCAUUUUAGUUUUUGGGCCAAGGAAAUUCAUCAAGAAUGGGCCUAUCCAUGGAGUAUGAGAUAUACAUUAAUUAAUUGUUGGGCCACUUGAUGGAAUUAAUAAUUGGGCUGGAAAUGUUUUAAAAGAGAGUGGAGGAAAGGUCAAUAAAAUCGUUUUGGGCCGAGAUUUAA